rnacentral:rRNA from 1 species
CAGCAGCCACGGGAAUACAGAGGGUGCGAGCGUUAAUCGGAUUUACUGGGCGUAAAGCGUGCGUAGGCGGCUUCUUAAGUCGGAUGUGAAAUCCCUGAGCUUAACUUAGGAAUUGCAUUCGAUACUGGGAAGCUAGAGUAUGGGAGAGGAUGGUAGAACUCCAGGUGUAGCGGUGAAAUGCGUAGAGAUCUGGAGGAAUACCGAUGGCGAAGGCAGCCAUCUGGCCUAAUACUGACGCUGAGGUACGAAAGCAUGGGGAGCAAACAGGAUUAGAUACCCGGGUAGUCCCUGUCUCUUAUAC